GUCAAGUGACGAAGCGUACACGGUGGAUGCCUAGGCAACUGGAGGCGAUGAAAGACGUUGUAGCCUGCGAAAAGGCUCGGGGAGGUGGCAAACGACCUUUGAUCCGAGCAUCUCUGAAUGGGGAAACCCACCCGUCUUAAGGCGGGUA
rnacentral:rRNA from 1 species